UUGAACGCUGGCGGCAUGCCUUACACAUGCAAGUCGAACGGCAGCGCGGGAGCAAUCCUGGCGGCGAGUGGCGAACGGGUGAGUAAUACAUCGGAACGUGCCCAAUCGUGGGGGAUAACGCAGCGAAAGCUGUGCUAAUACCGCAUACGAUCUACGGAUGAAAGCAGGGGAUCGCAAGACCUUGCGCGAAUGGAGCGGCCGAUGGCAGAUUAGGUAGUUGGUGAGGUAAAGGCUCACCAAGCCUUCGAUCUGUAGCUGGUCUGAGAGGACGACCAGCCACACUGGGACUGAGACACGGCCCAGACUCCUACGGGAGGCAGCAGUGGGGAAUUUUGGACAAUGGGCGAAAGCCUGAUCCAGCCAUGCCGCGUGCAGGAUGAAGGCCUUCGGGUUGUAAACUGCUUUUGUACGGAACGAAACGGUCUUUUCUAAUACAGAAGGCUAAUGACGGUACCGUAAGAAUAAGCACCGGCUAACUACGUGCCAGCMGCCGCGGUAA
rnacentral:rRNA from 1 species